GACGAACGCUGGCGGCGUGCUUAACACAUGCAAGUCGAACGGUGAAGCGCCUUCCUUUUUGGUGGGUGUGGAUGAGUGGCGAACGGGUGAGUAACACGUGAGUAACCUGCCCCCUUCUUCUGGAUAACCGCAUGAAAGUGUGGCUAAUACGGGAUAUUCUGGGUCUGUCGCAUGAUGGGUCUGGGAAAGAUAUUGUUUCGGUGGGGGAUGGGCUCGCGGCCUAUCAGCUUGUUGGUGGGGUGAUGGCCUACCAAGGCGGUGACGGGUAGCCGGCCUGAGGGGGUGGACGGUCACACUGGGACUGAGACACGGCCCAGACUCCUACGGGAGGCAGCAGUGGGGAAUAUUGCACAAUGGGCGCAAGCCUGAUGCAGCGACGCCGCGUGAGGGAUGGAGGCCUUCGGGUUGUGAACCUCCUUCGCCAGUGAAGCAGGCCUGCCUCGUUUGUGGGUGGGUUGACGGUAGCUGGAGAAGAAGCGCCGGCUAACUACGUG
rnacentral:rRNA from 1 species